CUCGUGAGUAAAGGUUAGUGUGAUCUGGGGACUCACCAUCGGUUGACAGCUGCAGUGUUAUGAGUUGGCCUCUCACUUUCUUCCCAACAAUGUCUGGGUUUCCCCCAAAGCUACCAAGUGCUAAUUUGAAAAAUAUGCUGCCGACACGUGGGAGAAAAGGAGGCAUCUAUUGUGAAAUACCCUGUGGGGCACUGACGGGCUUCACGAGAGGACGACAGACAGACACAGGAUACAGGGAAAGAGUUGGUCUGUUAUAUGAAUGGCUUCAAAAAUCUUCGCACAAUAAUGAAGAUGUAAGUCAAUAACCAAGAACAGAUAUGAUCAAACCUUGCUAGAGCAUCGUUCAGCUGAGCAAAUUGGAGGGACCAAUGAGCAAUGGGAGGAAAUCCUGAAUCCUGAC